GUAGUUAGCCGGGGCUUUCUAAUGGGGUACCGUCAUUUUUUCGUCCCCCACAACAGAGGUUUACAAUCCGAAAACCUUCUUCCCUCACGCGGCGUUGCUGGGUCAGGCUUGCGCCCAUUGCCCAAUAUUCCCCACUGCUGCCUCCCGUAGGAGUCUGGACCGUGUCUCAGUUCCAGUGUGGCCGAUCAGCCUCUCAGCUCGGCUACCCAUCGCAGGCUUGGUGGGCUGUUAUCUCACCAACUACCUAAUGGGACGCGAACCCCUCCUUCAGCGGAUUGCUCCUUUGACCUCAUCCCGAUGCCGGGUCGUGGUCUUAUGCGGUAUUAGCACUUGUUUCCAGGUGUUAUCCCCCUCUGAAGGUCAGGUUGUUCACGCGUUACUCACCCGUUCGCCACUAAAAUUUAUCUUCCAUCCGAAAACUUCUGAUAAAUCUCCGUUCGACUUGCAUGUGUUAGGCACGCCGCCAGCGUUCGUCCUGAGCACGAAUACGACCUACGA
rnacentral:rRNA from 1 species